UAGGGAAUCUUCCACAAUGGACGCAAGUCUGAUGGAGCAACGCCGCGUGAGUGAAGAAGGUUUUCGGAUCGUAAAGCUCUGUUGUUGGUGAAGAAGGAUAGAGGCAGUAACUGGUCUUUAUUUGACGGUAAUCAACCAGAAAGUCACGGCUAACUACGUGCCAGCAGCCGCGGUAAUACGUAGGUGGCAAGCGUUGUCCGGAUUUAUUGGGCGUAAAGCGAGCGCAGGCGGAAUGAUAAGUCUGAUGUGAAAGCCCACGGCUCAACCGUGGAACUGCAUCGGAAACUGUCAUUCUUGAGUGCAGAAGAGGAGAGUGGAACUCCAUGUGUAGCGGUGGAAUGCGUAGAUAUAUGGAAGAACACCAGUGGCGAAGGCGGCUCUCUGGUCUGCAACUGACGCUGAGGCUCGAAAGCAUGGGUAGCGAACAGGAUUAGAUACCCUGGUAGUCCAUGCCGUAAAACGAUGAGCGCUAGGUGUUGGGGACUUUCCGGUCCUCAGUGCCGCAGCAAAACGCAU
rnacentral:rRNA from 1 species